rnacentral:rRNA from 1 species
GCAGCCCGCGGUAAUACGUAGGGCGCAAGCGUUAUCCGGAAUUAUUGGGCGUAAAGAGCUCGUAGGCGGUCUGUCGCGUCUGCUGUGAAAACCCGAGGCUCAACCUCGGGCCUGCAGUGGGUACGGGCAGACUAGAGUGCGGUAGGGGAGAUUGGAAUUCCUGGUGUAGCGGUGGAAUGCGCAGAUAUCAGGAGGAACACCGAUGGCGAAGGCAGAUCUCUGGGCCGUAACUGACGCUGAGGAGCGAAAGGGUGGGGAGCAAACAGGCUUAGAUACCCUGGUAGUCCACCCCGUAAACGUUGGGAACUAGUUGUGGGGUCCAUUCCACGGAUUCCGUGACGCAGCUAACGCAUUAAG